rnacentral:rRNA from 1 species
CCUACGGGAGGCAGCAGUAGGGAAUAUUGCACAAUGGGCGAAACCCUGAUGCAGCAACGCCGCGUGGAGGAAGAAGGUCUUCGGAUUGUAAACUCCUUUUGUUAGAGAAGAUAAUGCCGGUGUCUAACGAUUAAGCACUGGCCAAUGCCGUGCCAGCAGCCGCGGGAUUACGGCGGGUGCAAGCGGUACUCGGAAUCACUGGGCGUAAAGGGCGCGUAGGCGGUUUUGCAAGUCAGAUGGGAAAGCCUUCGGCUUAACCAGAGAACUGCAUUUGAAACUGGUCGUCUAGAGUAUGGGAGAGGUAGGUGGAAUUCUAGGUGUAGCGGUGAAAUGCGUAGAGAUCAGGAGGAAUACUGAUUGCGAAGGCGGCCUGCUAGAACAUAACUGACGCUGAGGCGCGAAAGCGUGGGGAGCAAACAGGAUUAGAUACCCGGGUAGUC